GACGAACGCUGGCGGCGUGCUUAACACAUGCAAGUCGAACGAAGAGCGACGGAAGCUUGCUUCUAUCAAUCUUAGUGGCGAACGGGUGAGUAACGCGUAAUCAACCUGCCCUUCAGAGGGGGACAACAGUUGGAAACGACUGCUACUACCGCAUACGAUCUAAUCUCGGCAUCGAGGAUGGAUGAAAGGUGGCCUCUACAUGUAAGCUAUCACUGAAGGAGGGGAUUGCGUCUGAUUAGCUAGUUGGAGGGGUAACGGCCCACCAAGGCGAUGAUCAGUAGCCGGUCUGAGAGGAUGAACGGCCACAUUGGGACUGAGACACGGCCCAGACUCCUACGGGAGGCAGCAGUGGGGAAUCUUCCGCAAUGGACGAAAGUCUGACGGAGCAACGCCGCGUGAGUGAUGACGGCCUUCGGGUUGUAAAGCUCUGUUAAUCGGGACGAAAGGCCUUUCUUGCGAGUAGUGAGAAGGAUUGACGGUACCGGAAUAGAAAGCCACGGGCUAA
rnacentral:rRNA from 1 species